rnacentral:lncRNA from 1 species
UAAAAGAACUCAGAACUAAACACUCUAAAAUACAAGAGUAAAAACUUAAAAAGAAGAUGACUAGCCGGAAGCCUUGCGAUGAACUAAGCAAGAGAGUAAGUAACGUAGAAGACUUCUUCGUGAAGAGCCAAGAACUCAUCUAAAUCACAAGUUCACAAUGACAACACCCAAACCACAACAAUCUCAUCUGAACGUCAUGUUCACGAUGACAACCAACGAACCACACCGCAUGUACCAAGGCAGAAACCAUGAAGAAACAUCAAUAGAAGAAAGCCCCUACUCAAACGCACCUUCAUCUGGAAGCUUUAGCGCCUCAGCCUCAUUAUAUUGCUUCACUACAGGAAGCCACUGAGGGCAAACAGAGAGAAAAAGCAUACCAGGAACAACACUUAUUAAAAGGCCAAAAAGAGAACCACUUGCAAACCAAGAGAUGAAAAAGAAACCUGAACCCAACUUCAUCACAAAGACUAGAAUCUUCAACUGCUCAUCACACACGACUACGUUACUGCUAACACGCUGCUAAAUCAAAGACCAACUAAGCCACACUUUACAACCCAGAGAAGAUAAUUGGAUUCAAACCCUUUCAAACUGUCAACAACACCACUCGAAACAGGCUGAAGACAGCCACUACAACACAGGGGAACCAC